ACUGUUAUAAUCGAUUACUAUUAAAUUGAGUGAUUACACUAUACUUAUAAAUACUUUGCGAGCGAGAACGAUAUCUACGUCGUGAUCGAAAAUGAACUUAAAAUUCGCUUUUCUUCUAACGCUUCUAAUGCUUUCGUCUACGAUCGCAAAUGACAGCGAAUAUAACUUUUGCGCGUGCUCGUUGAACUAUAAUCCAGUGUGCGGAUCUAAUGGUUUAACCUAUGGGAAUGAGGAAUGUAUGAAGUGUCAAAACCCUGGUGCCGUGAAGAUUAAAGAUGGCCCAUGCUGAAAACUGUAUUCAAAACCGUGUUAUUAAUAAAUGAUAACUGUAUAAUUAUAUUUUGU